CAAGUUCAAAGUGUGCUGUUCGACUGGCCUAGAAGAGAAGAGACAUGUCACUGAAUGUGUGCUUUGUUCAGCUUUGAAUUGCAUCUGGGAAAUUAAAGACAUUCAAACUUGAAAGGAAUUGCAGUGCAAAUGCAUUAGCAUCAAGACUUAUUUGCAUCUAGAUACAUAUUCUGAUUGCAUCUUUUAUAGUUCUCUAUCAACAAAAUCAGGAGAAGCAGCUAAGGUGUAUAUGUCUAGAUUAAAGAUACAGCAUCAGGAGAAAUACAAUCAGCAGAUCCUGGGAAAUUACUGUUAUUAUUUCCAACUACUUGGCAAUAGAACACUGA